rnacentral:lncRNA from 1 species
AUUUCUGGUUUCUCCCAUGGCGCGUACCCAAAAUAAUCUGUAAAAGUGAGGAAAGACUGGACUCAGGCAAUGUUCAUGUUUUCCAAGUGGGGAGGAGGACAGAUUCCAGAAACAAUAGACCCCUGGCAAGCAAUAAAAAUCCUACCAGAGCAUUAAGCAGGUGGUCUGCCAUUUAGAAUGAGAAGCAGUGAUCUUCAGGAGGCAGCACGGGUCACUAAGAACAAGUCAUGACACCGGGACUUUACUUCUCGUGGUGACUGAACUGACAGAGGGCAGGGAUCCAAGGAUGUAGAAGACCUGCCAUUAGCACAAUUUCUGACACUUUCUCAUGAUAAUGGGCAAAGUAGAAAGACGGGCUGGAUGUUAGAAGAGCUAAAUUUGUAGCCCGUUGGACUUGCCCAGAGUGUUGAUUGCUGUGUCCACGUCCAGUUGGGUAACAGAGGAAAGUUCUCCAGUUGGCUUCUGAGCUUCAUCUUUGACUUAGUCUUGAUCGAUUUUCUAUUAAUACUUGAGAACAGACACAGAAGCAGUAGUGAGUCGAAGCUACCUUGGAAGAGCCGGUCGCUAAGUUUUCAGAACACUUACGAGAUGCUGACAUCGUGUUGUUAGCUUGUAAUUGUUCACGGGGGUAUUUCGACUACAGACAUUAGUAAGCACUAUAAAUCAGGGCCUUUCCUUUCUCUUCCCCGCAAGAACGGGUUGUUAAACAUGGACUACCAAACUACUGAAUGGAAAAUAGGUGCAUUACUUAGGAAUUUUGACUAAAAAUAAGAUUGGUUUAAGCAAACAAGCAAAAAAAAAAAAAAAAAAAAAAAAAACAAAACCCAGCAAUUUCAAGAGGAACUGUCAAGUCCACAUUAGAUCUGGCUUCAGGCACAGUUGGAAGCUGGACUCCUGAAGUCACAAGACUCAGUCUCUCUCCCUCUAUUGCAGUCCUGCUCUUCUGCUUCCCACCAUGUUGGCUUCAUCCAGUAGUAAAGCAAGGCUCUUCUGUCAGGAUGGCAACCCCAGUGGAAAGAGAAGCCCUCUUCCAAUCACUUCGAAAAAUUUGAAACCAAACCUAUCCACUGCCCAUUUCACGGAAAUUGAAGGGGAGGGGCAAUCCACUCGCCGCUCUUUCAGGACCACGAGGACAAUGCGUUCUUUUCCCAGUCCCACCAGUCAGAGGCUAACAGCAGCAGUAUUCAUCCCAAACACAACAUCUAUUCAAACCCCUUGGGAUACCCAGAGAUGUUGCCCUGGGCCCC